GUAGGUGAGGGAGCUGAGGCUGGGAGGGGUGAAGAGGCUCUGGCCGAAGACGGUAUAACUGAGGCCAGAAUAGAAGUUCGGUGGGCCUUGCCCAGGCUUCCUGAUUUUGCAGAGAGCCGGGCCUGUGGGCUGGUCUGGUUUAGAUUCAGCUGGAAAUCCAGAAGCCCCAGGGAGAAGUCCAUAGGAUGACUUCCCUGCUUGAGGGAGAGCAGGGAUGGACUCAGCCCCCAAGAGCACGUGUGCAAGACAAGACGCCUUCCCUACUGACAGGUGCUCCGUAAGCAUUUGUUGAAUGAACGAAAUAACUGGCUUUCGGGAAAACACCGCUCUUGGGCGGUGGUUCAGCUGACUUUACAACUCAGUAGCUGUGUGAUCUGAGGUUAAUUAUGCUCCCUGGCAAGCCCGAGCCCUCCUCUGUAAAAUGGAGAUCAGGUUUAUGGUCCCUCACCCCCGUGAAGAAUAAGAGUGAGGGGCAUGCUUGGAGCCAGGCUGCCUGGGCUCGAAGCUGCUUCUACCUUUUUCUAGCUGUGACCUUGUAGAACUACCCGGUCUCUUACGACCUCAGUUUUCUCAUCGAUCAAGUGGGGGUGAUGCUACUGACUCCCAAGGAUGUGGUGAGGAUGAAACGAACGGAUAAAGUGCCCUGAAGAGGUCUUGGCACCCGGAGGUGCUCCUCCAAUGUCGGCUGUUAGUAUGAGCAUCGCAGGCCUGGUGAAAGCACCCGAGCAGCUUUCAGAAGCAUAUGGAGAGCUUAGCACCGGGUCCCAAUCCACAGCGGCUUCUGGCUCCUGCCCUUCUCCCACGAGCCCUGCCAUUAUUGCCACAUCUGUAGUUUUUCACAGGAAACACGCAUAAAUUCGCUGCACAUCUUCUUGUUCAGAAAGGAGACGCCCUUCCCCACCAGGAGGGGCCUCUGUCACAUGGAACAAUAGAUCUCUUCCCUUUGACCUCUGGCUUCUGUCUGUCCAAGGUCAUGUGAGGAAUCUCCAAUGCCCAAUGCCUUUCCCAAUGUCUCUGUUUCUGAUUCAGUCAGGAGCCACCUGUUACGUGUCGGGCUUGACGUUGGCUUUGGUGAGUGGUCCUGGAGUUGCCGCACCUCUGACCUCCACCGCGGUUCUCAAACUUCAGUCGUGGGGGGACCAAGGGUAAUUGUGCCGCAGCCGCAGGCUGCUGCGGUCUAGCCUUUCCCUCAUUAUUUUUCGUUAACGUGUCUCACAUUCCAAACUUAAAUACGCUUGUUCCAAAGGGAAAUGUAUUCAUUACCAUAAAUGGAAAGCCAAUACCACCUGCCACUAAAAGGAGCUAUCCAUAAAAAGAAAUACCGUGGAAAUAAAGCAAUAUUAUUGAAUUCUGGGGGGGGGGGGUCAGGGUGGCCCAUUGAGGACUCUGGGCUCAAGGCCUGUUUGAUUUCCAUUUAAAAGGGAGAAGCGUUAAAGUUUCAGAAGGGUGUUAAAGACCUGUUAGUGCCGAAGUGAGAUUGCCUUCGAGGUGUGAUAAAAAGGAUGGAAAGAGAAUUCAGAGAGAAAAAUUCUCUAACCUCGGGAUUUCAUGUUUUUCUUUCCUUGUUUGUUCACCUUCCAGAACUUUCUCUUGUCUGCCAGGAACAAGGGGCCCCCUUUGACGUGAUUCAGUUCUUUAUUGAGAAAAGCUAAGGAGAGGGCCGCCUACCCUCUGCAUCUCACUUACUACAUUUUAGGAACUUUCUUUCCCCUCUUUGAAUGGAGGGAGCUGGACUGGAGAAACGCCCUUCUCAGAGGAUGUCCAGGCCCUAAGAGCCUGUGCGGCCUUAUCUGAAGGUCUCCUCCCUGCCUCCAAAUCAGCCGGGAUCUGCUGCACCUGCACAGUAUCCAGAUUUCUGAACCCAACAUUCAAGACCCUCUCCAGUCGAGUCCAGUGGCUUCCAGCAUGGUGGGGGGAGGAUGGCAUGAAGCAAAUGAUCGCACAAAGAAGUGAAUAGUUACAAACCCUGGCAAGUGCAAAGGAGAAGCCAGCCCCGAGCUUUUUCCAUGAGGAAAAGCCGCCUCUUCUCUCGACCCUGGAGAGGCUCCUGGUUGCUAGGAGAGAGAGGGACAUACAGCUUAUUUAAUAUAAAGCGAAGUGGCCCGGAACCCCCACACCGUGGUCAUCGCCUUUGAAGAACCUCGCUGCUUGCCUUCUGACCGGAAUAUUCUGUUACCGUGGGCAGCCUGGUGCUGGCAGCUGCCUUUCCGGACCCAAGUGUGUUGUCCAGCCGCCCUGACUGUGGUCACCUUGGAGCAUGCGCCGUGCCCUCGGGCACGGCUAGUACAGCCCUCCUACAGACCGAAAACUCUAUGUUCAGCCCUGCGAGAGAGGACCCCUGCGGGCCAUGUUCUCUGCUGGCUGCCCGGCACGGAGAGCCGCGCCUGGCACACUAUGGGCUGCUCGGUACAAAUGUGUCACAUACAGGCUUAAUAAAGGAGAGUGCCCUGGA